GCUGGGCGCGGUGGUGCAUGCCUAUAGUCCCAGCUACUCAGGAGGCUGAAGCUGGAGUAUCACUUGAGUCCAGGAGUUCUGGGCUGUAGUGCACUAUGCCAAUCCAGUGUCCCCACUAAGUUCAGCAUCAAUAUGGUGACCUCCCAGGAGCAGGGGACCACCAGGUUGCCUAAAGAGGGGUGAACCAGCCCAGGUCAGAAACGGAGCAGAUCAAAACUCCCGUGCCGAUCAGUAGUGGGAUUGCACCUGUGAAUAGCCACUGCACUCCAGCCUGGGCAAUAUAGAGAGACCCCAUCUCU
rnacentral:SRP_RNA from 1 species